CCCAAUCUGAGCCUCAGAGCAGCUGGGAUAAAUCACCCGCCGCCUCCGUUUAGCACGGCGCUGAUUGCCGGUGCUGGCUCACCGGGGAAAUCAGGCUCAAAUAUUAAAGACAAGAAAUGCUGCAGCCUCUAGAAUCUAAAAUGGAGAAAUGAGAAUUCAUCAUGCGAAAGGCUGGACUGGAUGAAUCCCAAGCCGGAAUUAAGAUUGCUGGAAGAAAUAUCAACAGCCUCAGAUAUGCAGAUGACACGACCUUGAUGGCAGAAAGUGAGAAGGAAUUAAAGAACCUUUUAAUGAAGGUGAAAGAGGAGAGUGCAAAAUAUGGUCUGAAGCUCAAUAUCAAAAAACUAAGAUCAUGGCCACUGAUCCCAUCACCUCCUGGCAAAUAGAAGGGGAAGAAAUGGGGUCACGAAGAGUUGGACAUGACUAAACGACUAAACAACAACAACAAC